GAUGAACGCUGGCGGCGUGCCUAAUACAUGCAAGUCGAGCGAACAGACGAGGAGCUUGCUCCUUUGACGUUAGCGGCGGACGGGUGAGUAACACGUGGAUAACCUACCUAUAAGACUGGGAUAACUUCGGGAAACCGGAGCUAAUACCGGAUAACAUGUUGAACCGCAUGGUUCAACAGUGAAAGACGGUCUUGCUGUCACUUAUAGAUGGAUCCGCGCCGCAUUAGCUAGUUGGUAAGGUAACGGCUUACCAAGGCAACGAUGCGUAGCCGACCUGAGAGGGUGAUCGGCCACACUGGAACUGAGACACGGUCCAGACUCCUACGGGAGGCAGCAGUAGGAAAUCUUCCGCAAUGGGCGAAAGCCUGACGGAGCAACGCCGCGUGAGUGAAGAAGGUCUUCGGAUCGUAAAACUCUGUUAUUAGGGAAGAACAAAUGUGUAAGUAACUAUGCACGUCUUGACGGUACCUAAUCAGAAAGCCACGGCUAACUACGUG
rnacentral:rRNA from 1 species